AGGCGAGAGUAGAGGUCCUAUCCCACUGUGCAGAAGUGGCUGCAUAGUAUGGCUCAGUCCUAAGGAGGGCCCUUCCCCAGAUCUGAGGCCAUAUCAGCCGACGCCUUUUUUCGUGGGGCGGGGCGUGGACGCGUCUAACCUGCAUGCAAUAGGACAUGCUCUCCUUGAGGUCCACGUCAAGGAUCACUCAAGUGCAGUGCCUUGCCUCGCAUCCUGUAUCGUGACGAUGGUGGACGAAGGGG
rnacentral:lncRNA from 1 species